CCUGGCUGUGAUGACACACUUGCCCUCACUGAAAUUAGGCUUGAUUGAGAUUUUAUUUUACUGAGCCACA
rnacentral:snoRNA from 1 species